rnacentral:ncRNA from 1 species
GUUAAAGCUAUGAAUAGGCGAAGUAGAUUGUUUGAAUUAUUUUAGAGAGCGAGUGGUUGGUGAAAAUUCGCAGGUUCAAACAAACCGAAGUACACCUUGGAGCUAUUCUCUCACGAGACGCAACCCGGCGUUAUGGGAACGAGUGAAGUAAGUUCUCAACUUAUUUUAAUCAGGGUGGUACCACGGCACUGUUCGUCCCGACG